AGAGAAAGUUGCCAAGAGCUUCGAGCUGUUGAACUUUCUCCUCAAAACUGUGACAGAGGAGCAUCUGCACGUGAAGCUGACUGAGGUGGAAAAAGUGCUGUUAGGUCUGAACCAGCCAGAAGGCAUUGGGAAUUCCGCACGUCUUGACUCUCUCUACUGGAAUGUCAUGCGUUGGCUGAAUUAUACGAAGCCCAAGAAAGAGAAGACAGCCAAUAAGCCUAAGCAGGAAGCAGAGCCGCUUAAGAGGAAGAAGAAGGGCUUCCUGCCAGAGACCAAGAAGCGCAAGAAUCGCAAGAAAGGCAUCCAGGAGAAUGGGGUAGCACCGGCAGCCGGUGAAGGUGGAGAACCAGCAGCCCCAGAAGAGCAGCCCCUGGGAGCAGAAACCCCCAAGCAGAAGAAAGGCCUCGUGCUUGGUGGCAGCAAACACAAGAAUCAGAACAGAGGGGUCAGGGAGAACGGAGUGGCAACAGCGGGCAGUGGGGAGGCUGCUGUUAAUGGAGGAGAUGCUGUGGCUCACAAGAAGAAGAAGAAAAAGAAUAUGAACAGGAAAAGAAAAGGUGAUGGCAGCAACGAAGCCGAGCAGGUUCCAGCUGCAAAGAAAACCAAGGAGAGUGUCAGCCAGGAGCCCCAGCAGAAGCAGAGCAAAGCCAAGAAGAAAAAAAAAGAGAAAAAGGCUCCAGUGCUGCAGGACUAAACUCCAUGGACUCACCUGGGGCUGGCAUGGCUCAGGAGACUGUUUUAAUAUCUUUUAUACUAUAGUUUUUAUGUGCUCCAUGGCUUUAAAUAAACCUUCCAUGAUGCUGAGCUCUACA
rnacentral:lncRNA from 1 species